rnacentral:rRNA from 1 species
GAUGAACGUUAGCUACAGGCUUAACACAUGCAAGUCGAGGGGCAGCAUGGUCUUAGCUUGCUAAGGCUGAUGGUGACUGGCGCAAGGGUGAGUAACAUGUAACACACCUGCCGUCUACCCUUGGCCCGCCUCCUGAAAGGAAGAUUAAUCCAGGAUGGGAUCAUGAGUUCACAUGUCCGUAUGAUCAAUGGUAUUUUCCGGUAGACGAUGGGCAUGCGUUCCAUUAGAUCGUAGGCGGGGUAACGGCCCACCUCGUCAACGAUGGAUAGGGGUUCUGAGAGGAAGGGCCCCCACAUUUGAACUGUGACACGGGCCAAACCCCUACGGGAGGCAGCAGUGAGGAAUAUUGGUCAAUGGGCGAUGGCCUGAACCAGCCAAGUAGCGUGAAGGAUGACUGCCCUAUGGGUUGUAAACUUCUUUUAUAAAGGAAUAAAGUCGGGUAUGCAUACCCUUUUUCAUGUACUUUAUGAAUAAGGAUCGACUAACUCCGUGCCAGCCGCCGCAGUAA